rnacentral:rRNA from 1 species
AUUGAACGCUGGCGGCAUGCCUAACACAUGCAAGUCGAACGGAAACGAUGGGAGCUUGCUCCCAGGCGUCGAGUGGCGGACGGGUGAGUAAUACUUAGGAAUCUACCCAGUAGCGGGGGACAACUCGAGGAAACUCGAGCUAAUACCGCAUACGCCCUACGGGGGAAAGCAGGGGAUCUUCGGACCUUGCACUAUUGGAUGAGCCUAAGUCGGAUUAGCUUGUUGGUGAGGUAAAGGCUCACCAAGGCGACGAUCCGUAGCUGGUCUGAGAGGACGAUCAGCCACACUGGGACUGAGACACGGCCCAGACUCCUACGGGAGGCAGCAGUGGGGAAUAUUGGACAAUGGGGGCAACCCUGAUCCAGCAAUGCCGCGUGUGUGAAGAAGGCCUGCGGGUUGUAAAGCACUUUCAGUAGAGAAGAAAAGCCUAGGGUUAAUAACCCUGAGUCUUGACGUUACCUACAGAAGAAGCUCCGGCUAACUCCG